UGAGGAAUAUUGGUCAAUGGGCGCAAGCCUGAACCAGCCAUCCCGCGUGCAGGAAGACGGCGCUAUGCGUUGUAAACUGCUUUUCCAGGGGGAGAAACUUGCGCACGUGUUGCGCAAUUGACGGUACCCUGGGAAUAAGCAUCGGCUAACUCCGUGCCAGCAGCCGCGGUAAUACGGAGGAUGCGAGCGUUAUCCGGAUUCAUUGGGUUUAAAGGGUGCGUAGGCGGAAUAUUAAGUCAGUGGUGAAACCCUGCAGCUUAACUGCAGAACUGCCAUUGAUACUGAUAGCCUUGAGUUUGGUUAAGGUAGGCGGAAUGUGUAAUGUAGCGGUGAAAUGCUUAGAUAUUACACAGAACACCAAUUGCGUAGGCAGCUUACUGAGCCGACACUGACGCUGAGGCACGAAAGCGUGGGGAUCGAACAG
rnacentral:rRNA from 1 species